rnacentral:rRNA from 1 species
UCGAGAGCAUGAAGUUGGAAUCGCUAGUAAUCGCGGAUCAGCAUGCCGCGGUGAAUACGUUCCCGGGCCUUGUACACACCGCCCGUCACACCAUGGGAGUUGGCUUUACCCGAAGGCGCUGCGCUAACCGCAAGGGGGCAGGCGACCACGGUAGGGUCAGCGACUGGGGUGAAGUCGUAACAAGGUAGCCGUAGGGGAACCUGCGGCUGGAUCACCUCCUUUCU